UGGGGAGCAAACAGGAUUAGAUACCCUGGUAGUCCACGCCGUAAACGAUGAUUACUAGGUGUGGGGGGACUGACCCCUUCCGUGCCGCAGCAAACGCAAUAAGUAAUCCACCUGGGGAGUACGACCGCAAGGUUGAAACUCAAAGGAAUUGACGGGGGCCCGCACAAGCGGUGGAGCAUGUGGUUUAAUUCGAUGCAACGCGAAGAACCUUACCUGGUCUUGACAUCCACGGAAGUUUUCAGAGAUGAGAAUGUGCCUUCGGGAACCGUGAGACAGGUGCUGCAUGGCUGUCGUCAGCUCGUGUUGUGAAAUGUUGGGUUAAGUCCCGCAACGAGCGCAACCCUUAUCCUUUGUUGCCAGCGGUCCGGCCGGGAACUCAAAGGAGACUGCCAGUGAUAAACUGGAGGAAGGUGGGGAUGACGUCAAGUCAUCAUGGCCCUUACGACCAGGGCUACACACGUGCUACAAUGGCGCAUACAAAGAGAAGCGACCUCGCGAGAGCAAGCGGACCUCAUAAAGUGCGUCGUAGUCCGGAUUGGAGUCUGCAACUCGACUCCAUGAAGUCGGAAUCGCUAGUAAUCGUGGAUCAGAAUGCCACGGUGAAUACGUUCCCGGGCCUUGUACACACCGCCCGUCACACCAUGGGAGUGGGUUGCAAAAGAAGUAGGUAGCUUAACCUUCGGGAGGGCGCUUACCACUUUGUGAUUCAUGACUGGGGUGAAGUCGUAACAAGGUAACCGUAGGGGAACCUGCGGUUG
rnacentral:rRNA from 1 species